GCAUUUUGAUGAAAAUCAUAAAUAGGUAUCACGGCAUUUCGCAUAUUAUUUUUUAAUUUAAGUAAAUACAUUUGUUUUGAGCCGGCAAAAUAUUUCGAACAUUUUUCAUAUCGCUCUACUUAGUGUAAAAAAAAAAAAAGAACAUAUUGUUGACAAUGUUAUUGUACGAUCGUUUUUAGUUCAAAUGUUGAGAAAAUCGUAAAAAUCACCGCAUGUUUAACCAAACUUAGUUCAGAAACGUGUUUCGAUAGCCAUGAUUUAUCCUUACGUGCCUA